UUAAACGAGAGUUUGAUCCUGGCUCAGGACGAACGCUGGCGGCGUGCCUAACACAUGCAAGUCGAGCGGAACUGAUAAAGUUUACUUUAACAGUUUAGCGGCGGACGGGUG
rfam:Dethiosulfatibacter aminovorans DSM 17477 genome assembly, contig: EJ55DRAFT_scaffold00009.9